ACUCUAGAGAUAGAGCGUUCCCCUUCGGGGGACAGAGUGACAGGUGGUGCAUGGUUGUCGUCAGCUCGUGUCGUGAGAUGUUGGGUUAAGUCCCGCAACGAGCGCAACCCUUGAUCUUAGUUGCCAGCAUUCAGUUGGGCACUCUAAGGUGACUGCCGGUGACAAACCGGAGGAAGGUGGGGAUGACGUCAAAUCAUCAUGCCCCUUAUGACCUGGGCUACACACGUGCUACAAUGGAUGGUACAAAGGGCUGCAAGACCGCGAGGUCAAGCCAAUCCCAUAAAACCAUUCUCAGUUCGGAUUGUAGGCUGCAACUCGCCUACAUGAAGCUGGAAUCGCUAGUAAUCGCGGAUCAGCAUGCCGCGGUGAAUACGUUCCCGGGCCUUGUACACACCGCCCGUCACACCACGAGAGUUUGUAACACCCGAAGUCGGUGGAGUAACCGUAAGGAGCUAGCCGCCUAAGGUGGGACAGAUGAUUGGGGUGAAGUCGUAACAAGGUAGCCGUAUCGGAAGGUGCGGCUGGAUCACCUCCUU
rnacentral:rRNA from 1 species